CGAUGCAACGCGAAGAACCUUACCUGGUCUUGACAUCCACGGAAGUUUUCAGAGAUGAGAAUGUGCCUUCGGGAACCGUGAGACAGGUGCUGCAUGGCUGUCGUCAGCUCGUGUUGUGAAAUGUUGGGUUAAGUCCCGCAACGAGCGCAACCCUUAUCCUUUGUUGCCAGCGGUCCGGCCGGGAACUCAAAGGAGACUGCCAGUGAUAAACUGGAGGAAGGUGGGGAUGACGUCAAGUCAUCAUGGCCCUUACGACCAGGGCUACACACGUGCUACAAUGGCGCAUACAAAGAGAAGCGACCUCGCGAGAGCAAGCGGACCUCAUAAAGUGCGUCGUAGUCCGGAUUGGAGUCUGCAACUCGACUCCAUGAAGUCGGAAUCGCUAGUAAUCGUGGAUCAGAAUGCCACGGUGAAUACGUUCCCGGGCCUUGUACACACCGCCCGUCACACCAUGGGAGUGGGUUGCAAAAGAAGUAGGUAGCUUAACCUUCGGGAGGGCGC
rnacentral:rRNA from 1 species